rnacentral:rRNA from 1 species
AGAGAGAGACAUGCGCGCAUAUCAAUAAGCGGAGGAAAAGAAACUAACAAGGAUUCCCUUAGUAACGGCGAGUGAAGCGGGAAGAGCUCAAAUUUGAAAUCUUCAAGGUUUUACCUUGACGAAUUGUAGUUUAAAGAAGUGUUUUCUGCAUGAAGUUUUGGUAAAAGUUCUUUGGAAUAGGACAUCAUAGAGGGUGAGAAUCCCGUAUUUGACCAUUAUUUUCAGCUUUGUGAUACACUUUCAAAGAGUCGGAUUGUUUGGGAAUGCAGUCCAAAAUGGGUGGUAAAUUUCAUCUAAAGCUAAAUAUUGGCGAGAGACCGAUAGCGAACAUGUACCGUGAGGGAAAGAUGAAAAGAACUUUGAAAAGAGAGUUAAACAGUACGUGAAAUUGUCAAAAGGGAAGCGUUUGACACCAGUGUUGUUUUCUCGAAAAUCAAUUAAAAAUGGCAGCGAUUUUGUAUUGCUUGUAUGACCUUAUAAGCUUCACUGUACAUUUUUCUUGUCUUUUUUAAUGCACUUUUCGUUUAACAAGUCAACAUCAGUUUCUUUUGUUGUAAAAGGGUCAUUGGAAGGUGGCUUUCUUUUCGGAGAAAGUGUUUAUAGCCUUUGGCCUCUGCAAUCGGAGAGACUGAGGUCUGCAGCGUAGACUCUUCGGGGUUAGAUACAUUUGUGCUAAGUUAUAGCUUUUUAUAGACAACUUGUUGACUAUAAUUAGUCUUGUAGCUUACUCGCUUAUGCUAUUUUACCUACGCUUAGGAUGUUGAAGUCAUCGUAUCGCGC